AUUGAACGCUGGCGGCAGGCCUAACACAUGCAAGUCGAGCGGAUAAAGGGAGCUUGCUCCUGGCUUCCGUGGCGGACGGGUGAGUAAUUCUUAGGAAUCUGCCUGGUCGUGGGGGCUAGCGUCCGGUAACGGGCGCUAAUACCGUAUACGUCCUGAGGGAGAAAGUGGGGGAUCUUUGGUGCUCGAGCUUUCAGCUGAGCCUAGGUCGGAUUAGCUAGUUGGUGGGGUAAGGGCCUACCAAGGCGACGUUCCGUAGCUGGUCUGAGAGGGUGACCAGUCACACGGGAACUGAGACACGGUCCAGAUUCCUACGGGAGGCAGCAGUGGGGAAUAGUAGACAAUGGGCGAAAGCCUGACCGAGCCAUGCCGCGUGAGUGAUGAAGGUCUUCGGAUAGUAAAGCGCUUUUAUUUGGGAGGAAGGGAAGUGAAUUAAUCCCUUCCUGUCUGGACGUUACCUACGGAAAAAGCCCCGGCUAACUUCGUG
rnacentral:rRNA from 1 species